rnacentral:rRNA from 1 species
UAACUACUGGAAACGGUAGCUAAUACCGCAUAACGUCGCAAGACCAAANAGGGGACCUUCGGGCCUCUUGCCAUCGGAUGUGCCCAGAUGGGAUUAGCUAGUAGGUGGGGUAACGGCUCACCUAGGCGACGAUCCCUAGCUGGUCUGAGAGGAUGACCAGCCACACUGGAACUGAGACACGGUCCAGACUCCUACGGGAGGCAGCAUG